rnacentral:rRNA from 1 species
UGCAGCCCAAGUGGUGACCAUUAUUAUUGAGCCUAAAGCGUCCGUAGCCGGUUUGGUAAAUCCUCGGGUAAAUCGAGCAGCUUAACUGUUCGAACACCGGGGAGACUGCCAGACUUGGGACCGGGAGAGGUCAGAGGUACUUCAGGGGUAGGGGCUAAAUCCUGUAAUCCUUGAAGGACCACCAGUGGCGAAGGCGUCUGACUAGAACGGAUCCGACGGUAAGGGACGAAACCCUGGGGCGCAAACCGG